ACAUCAGCACAGGUUGGAUGUCUUCAGCAGCUUGGGGCACAGCGUCCCGGCACAUAACCAAAGGAAACAAGAUCAUGGCUCAGGGCACCGUCAAGUGGUUCAACGCUGAAAAGGGCUUCGGCUUCAUCGCUCAGGAUGGCGGCGGCGAGGACGUCUUCGUCCACUACUCCGCGAUCCAGACCAACGGCUACAAGUCGCUGGACGAGAACCAGAAGGUCGAGUUCGACCUCGCCUCUGGCCCCAAGGGUCCGCAGGCUGAGAACGUCCACGUCGCCUGAUUUUCACGAGAAGGGCCCCGACCGCUUGCGGUCGGGGCCCUUU
rnacentral:other from 1 species